AUCGCUUCUCGGCCUUUUGGCUAAGAUCAAGUGUAGUAUCUGUUCUUAUCAGUUUAAUAUCUGAUAUGUUCUCUAGAUGAGAACGUUAUAUUAAACAGAUUUUUAGAACAGGGAGCUGGAAUAAGAGCUUGUUCUUUCUGCUCCAUGCAUCAGCCUGGUAUUGCAGUAUCUCCAGGGAUGGUGCCUAUAUU